rnacentral:rRNA from 1 species
UACGUAGGUGGCGAGCGUUGUCCGGAUUUACUGGGCGCAAAGGGCGCGUAGGCGGCAAUUCAAGUCAUCUGUGAAAUCUCCGGGCUUAACUCGGAACGGUCAGAUGAUACUGCUUUGCUAGAGUGCAGAAGGGGCAAUCGGAAUUCUCGGUGUAGCGGUGAAAUGCGUAGAUAUCGAGAGGAACACCUGAGGUGAAGACGGGUUGCUGGGCUGACACUGACGCUGAAGCGCGAAAGCCAGGGGAGCAAACGGG